rnacentral:rRNA from 1 species
AUGAAGCUGUUGAAGCCGUUGAAGGUGGUGAGGCAGACGUACUGGAUGUCGUCGAUGCAGAAAUUACAAUGCCAGAAAUUACAGUAUGAAGAGAUCACUAGUUGGUGCAGAAAGGAUGAUGAAGGAUCCAGCAUUGAUGUUUCAGUCAUAGAAAAUAUAAAACCUGUUGAGUUUGAAGAUGUCCAGUUCGAAUCUGAUGAUGAUACAAAUGAUGAUGAGGCUUACGUAAAUGAUGGCCAUGUUGCUCCUUUGGGACAAGAAGAAUCGGAUGAUGACCAGGGGUUCUUUGUAUAG